AACGAACGCUGGCGGCAUGCCUAACACAUGCAAGUCGAACGAGACCUUCGGGUCUAGUUGCGCACGGGUGCGUAACGCGUGGGAACCUGCCCUUAGGUUCGGAAUACCUCCCCGUAAGGGGUGCUAAUACCGGAUAAUGUCUUCGGACCAAAGAUUUAUCGCCUUUGGAUGGGCCCGCGUUGGAUUAGCUAGUUGGUAGGUUAAAAGCCUACCAAGGCGACGAUCCAUAGCUGGUCUGAGAGGAUGCUCAGCCACACUGGGACUGCGACACGGCCCAGACUCCUACGGGAGGCAGCAUUGGGGAAUAUUAGACAAUGGGCGAAAGCCUGAUCCAGCAAUGCCGCGUGAGUGAUGAAGUCCUUAGGGUUGUAAAGCUCUUUUACCCGGGAUGAUAAUGACAGUACCGGGAGAAUAAGCUCCGGCUAACUCCGUG
rnacentral:rRNA from 1 species